rnacentral:rRNA from 1 species
UCCGUAGGUGAACCUGCGGAAGGAUCAUUGUC